rnacentral:tRNA from 1 species
GCAAUGGUAGCUGUGUGGCAGUGUUCUUGCCUGUCAUGUAGGAGAUCUGAGUUCAAAUCUCAGUCUUGGUG